rnacentral:misc_RNA from 1 species
UUUUUUUUUUUUUUUGUUGGGUUUGAGGGGAGGGGUGCCAAAUUUGAUAUUUUCCUUUCAAGUAAAAUGGCUAAGGCAUUGUGUCCUGGAUUAAUGUUUCUUCUUCAUUUCCUCCUCCUGAUUGGUUUUCUAUUCUUCUUUAUUUAUUUCCCCUUUAUUUUCCUUGCUUAUUGUUAGGUCUGCUGAUUAUGGUAUUGUGUUGCAGG